rnacentral:tRNA from 1 species
GGGGCAUUAGCUCAGUUGGGAGAGCGCUACACUGGCAGUGUAGAGGUCAGCGGUUCGAGCCCGCUAUGCUCCA